GUGCUCACUUCGGUAGCACAUAUACUAAAAUUGGAAUGACACAGAGAAGAUUAGCAUGACCCCUGCGCCAGGAUGACACACAAAUUUGGGGAGGGGCUGUGCCUCAAU